GUCCGGCCCGCGCGCGGCGCACCGGGUGCAGGAGCUGGGAGCUGCUGCUCUGCAGAGGUCAAGACAGGCCCCGAAGGGAAGCUGGAGCAGCAGGUGACAAGCUGCCCAGGACAUUCUGUCACAAGGAGAACGCUAGAGAUGAAGUUGGUGAAAACGCUGCUUUGCAGGCAAUCUGAAAUUCUGGGUCCGACGUUGCCUCUUGCAGCCUGCUUCCAGAGCUCCAUUACAGCUUCGGUGAAAUCUCCCCUGGCCCACAGGAUCAUCUCAGCAUUGACAGUGCACCUCACAAGGCUGGAAUGCACUUGGCCGCUCCUGGACUGCUGCCUGCAAAGCAAAAAUCCCCUCUACCAGGAUGUGGUGGGCUUGAAAACUCUUGCUGUUCUCCUGCAAUUCCAAUUUUGCAUGGGUGUCUCUCUAGUCCCCUCCUAGUCAGCCUCUUCUGGACAACGGGCCAACAUUGUGGACACCUCUUGAGUCACUGACCCCGAAGCUGCAUUGGGGUCUGGAGUGGGGACCCGGGCAUGUUCUCAGGGCAGGCUGAGCCAUGCUCUCAGGAUGUGAGGAGGGAGCUGUGUCAGGCAGACUGACAGGCCAUGGGGCCUGCUUCUGGGGCCACAGGGCUCUAGGGACCCGUCAGUGAGGUGUGGGGGCACCAACAGACCCAGUCUGGGUGGGCAGCCAGCAGCCCAGAGCCAGAUGCAGCUGUACCUGCCUGAGUGCGUGAUGUGAUGCUGAGCCCUGCGAUGCACGGGAAGUCAGUUCGGUGUUCCGGAAAAGAUUCCUUCACUGAUGAAAAGAGACAGGAAGGGAGGACCUCUUUUUUCCCCUGGAUAUGGUCAUAUCUCGAAGUGACCUCUGGAACAAGCAGGUGUUAUGCCAGCAGGGGCCCCACAUUAGCCAGAGGUGCAGGGCUCCCCCCAGGCCCAUCACUUUGACUCUUAGUCUAGAAAACAGAAGUGCGGAGCUCAACGGCUGCUAGCAUCCCCUCAUCUCACCCACAUUUAAAAACCGUUUCUCAUGGAAAAUUUCAAAUAUUUACAAAAAUAGGGAGACUUACUGAAUAGGGGGAAGAAAUGGGCACCCAUCAGCCAGUUUCAGCACUGAGAUAAUUCAUGGCCAAUCUUACCCAUUUUCCCAAACCAAUUUGCUUUAAAGCAAGUUCGGGAUAUCAUGUCUGUAAAAACAAACACACAGACAAAAACAAAACAAAACAAAACAAAACAAAACUUGCAUGAAUAUCAUAUGUGAAAAGGCAACAAUUCUUUUCAUAUUUUUAAAUUUUAAAAUUAUUUCAUUUCAUUUUAUUUGUGGAGACAGGAUCUCACUAUGUUACCCAGGCUGGUCUUGAACUCCUGGGCUCAAGCAAUCUCCAUGCCUCAGCCUCCUGAAAUGCUGGGAUUACAGCUGUGAGCCACCAUGCCUGGCCCAAUAAUUCUUUAAUAUCUUCAAAUAUGCAAUGUUUCCAUUUCUUUGCUUUUUGACAGUUUGUUUUUGUGUUUUAUUUUUAAAUAACAGCUUUGUUGAGAAACUAUUUGAAUAACAUUUACUCUUUUAAACUGUGCAAUUGAGUGACUUUUAGUACAUGCAUGAACUUGCGCAACCACGACCACUAUCUGAUUGCAGAACAUUUUCAUCACCCCC